rnacentral:tRNA from 1 species
GGUAUCAUGGCCGAGUGGUCUAAGGCGCCAGAUUUAAGUCCUGGUGACGGUUUCGUCGCGUGGGUUCGAACCCCACUGAUACCA